UACGUAGGGCGCAAGCGUUAUCCGGAAUUAUUGGGCGUAAAGAGCUCGUAGGCGGUUUGUCGCGUCUGCCGUGAAAGUCCGGGGCUCAACUCCGGAUCUGCGGUGGGUACGGGCAGACUGGAGUGAUGUAGGGGAGACUGGAAUUCCUGGUGUAGCGGUGAAAUGCGCAGAUAUCAGGAGGAACACCGAUGGCGAAGGCAGGUCUCUGGGCAUUAACUGACGCUGAGGAGCGAAAGCAUGGGGAGCGAACAGG
rnacentral:rRNA from 1 species